rnacentral:rRNA from 1 species
GAUUGAACGCUGGCGGCAGGCCUAACACAUGCAAGUCGAGCGGUAGCACAGAGAGCUUGCUCUCGGGUGACGAGCGGCGGACGGGUGAGUAAUGUCUGGGAAACUGCCUGAUGGAGGGGGACAACUACUGGAAACGGUAGCUAAUACCGCAUAAUGUCGCAAGACCAAAGUGGGGGACCUUCGGGCCUCAUGCCAUCAGAUGUGCCCAGAUGGGAUUAGCUAGUAGGUGGGGUAACGGCUCACCUAGGCGACGAUCCCUAGCUGGUCUGAGAGGAUGACCAGCCACACUGGAACUGAGACACGGUCCAGACUCCUACGGGAGGCAGCAGUGGGGAAUAUUGCACAAUGGGCGCAAGCCUGAUGCAGCCAUGCCGCGUGUGUGAAGAAGGCCUUCGGGUUGUAAAGCACUUUCAGCGGGGAGGAAGGCGGUGAGGUUAAUAACCUCAUCGAUUGACGUUACCCGCAGAAGAAGCACCGGCUAACUCCGUGCCAGCAGCCGCGGUAAUACGGAGGGUGCAAGCGUUAAUCGGAAUUACUGGGCGUAAAGCGCACGCAGGCGGUCUGUCAAGUCGGAUGUGAAAUCCCCGGGCUCAACCUGGGAACUGCAUUCGAAACUGGCAGGCUAGAGUCUUGUAGAGGGGGGUAGAAUUCCAGGUGUAGCGGUGAAAUGCGUAGAGAUCUGGAGGAAUACCGGUGGCGAAGGCGGCCCCCUGGACAAAGACUGACGCUCAGGUGCGAAAGCGUGGGGAGCAAACAGGAUUAGAUACCCUGGUAGUCCACGCCGUAAACGAUGUCGAUUUGGAGGUUGUGCCCUUGAGGCGUGGCUUCCGGAGCUAACGCGUUAAAUCGACCGCCUGGGGAGUACGGCCGCAAGGUUAAAACUCAAAUGAAUUGACGGGGGCCCGCACAAGCGGUGGAGCAUGUGGUUUAAUUCGAUGCAACGCGAAGAACCUUACCUGGUCUUGACAUCCACAGAACUUUCCAGAGAUGGAUUGGUGCCUUCGGGAACUGUGAGACAGGUGCUGCAUGGCUGUCGUCAGCUCGUGUUGUGAAAUGUUGGGUUAAGUCCCGCAACGAGCGCAACCCUUAUCCUUUGUUGCCAGCGGUCCGGCCGGGAACUCAAAGGAGACUGCCAGUGAUAAACUGGAGGAAGGUGGGGAUGACGUCAAGUCAUCAUGGCCCUUACGACCAGGGCUACACACGUGCUACAAUGGCAUAUACAAAGAGAAGCGACCUCGCGAGAGCAAGCGGACCUCAUAAAGUAUGUCGUAGUCCGGAUUGGAGUCUGCAACUCGACUCCAUGAAGUCGGAAUCGCUAGUAAUCGUAGAUCAGAAUGCUACGGUGAAUACGUUCCCGGGCCUUGUACACACCGCCCGUCACACCAUGGGAGUGGGUUGCAAAAGAAGUAGGUAGCUUAACCUUCGGGAGGGCGCUUACCACUUUGUGAUUCAUGACUGGGGUGAAGUCGUAACAAGG